AUAAUUCUUAUAGCAUAAAAGUUAAUUAUAUUCAUAUAUACUAUAAAGCAAAUAACCAAAGCAUAAAAUUACUUUUACAGCAACACGUGGGCUCACAUCUAACCAAAAUGCAUCGGAAGCUGAAAACCUACAGUUUUUACCGAUUCAAGUCCAAAUGAAGGUCCUUGUCAAAGUCAGCUAACUAUGGAAUUCCCCGAGCCUGAAAUGUGAGGAAAUAAGGGUGGUGAGAUUAUAAAAUCUCAGUGAGUAAACAGACACCAUCUAAACUAUCUAAAGGCGAGUAAAUGGAGACGAAUUAAGAUAAGUCAUUAUACUGUAAUUUCAUUACCUUUCAAUUCAUUUCAACCAAAUAAACAAAUAGGCUUAUGAUUUCCUAAAAAGCUUGGCUCGUGCCAAAAUCAUUCUCAUACUUAGUUAUCAAGGAUACCUCGAUCGAGGGUUAUCCCAACUGAGUCCGCCAAGGCUGUUAAAUGUCUUUACAUCUGAAAUUUUAGCCAUGCCUUGACGUUAGCUGAGUCUCACUCUCAUGCGGUGGUCCACAUGAAGUGCACUCAAAUCUUUACCUCAGGAGAUACUUCAUCCAACAUCUCCCCCCGGAGGUAAAUAUAUAAUUAGGCUAUCGUGCCCCUCUCAUAGGCAAUCCACGGAAACCCCCACCACUGCAAUGACUAUGGAUUAUUUUAUCUAUCACCUGAUUUAUAAAAUCUUUUUCUACUUGACAUGACAAUUUAUCGCAACCUAGCCUCUCAAGGCUGAAUACACAGUAUAAAUAAUUCUAACACCAAAAAUCAGUUUAGCCAUUCAUGCUCAUAUAUUAUCAUAAGCCAUUUAAUUUAAAACCAUAAAUUUACAACACAAGCAGGCAGUCUCCAAUUACUCUAUAUUCAAAAUCAAUAUUCAAUUUUUCAAAAAAUUUAUAAAAUCAUUUUAUAAAAUCACAAUUUCUCCUAAAACAUAGCAAUUUACCAUUUAAACCCAUUUUUCAUAAAAUCACACAAUUGAAUAAAACUACUCUAGAUAAUUAAGACGAUAAUAAGUUCACUCACAGUUCUAGGAGUCGAUGUACUCUUAAUAUCAGUCUCCAAGCACAAUCUCUGUACUUUUACCAAUGUAAUUUACUCACCAUCUAUCCACAAUGUACAAUACAUAAUUCACCACAUCAAUGUUUGACCAUUAUAAAAUCAAUUCAGGCUCGGUUUAUAUGCAUGAUAUGAUAUGCAACUUAUCCGACUACCUCUUAAAUGCGGUGCUGACCUAAUUCGGCCAAUUACCCGAUUAAAUGACAAUUUUGUCCGAUUUGACUCCAAAUUGCUCCAUUUCAUUUCUAAUAUUUCAAUUCACUAAAUACAAUCCCAAUAAUCUAAAAUUCAGCCUAACAACCCUCACAAUUCUUCUUGAAAAUUUCGGCCAUUGUGGUGCACUAUCACUAAAACUUUUCCCAUUCCAUUUUCUCACCAUAAAUCAUCAUUUCAUCAAUUUUUUAACCAAUUCACUUGAUCACAAAAUCAAUUCAUUACUUCUACACUUCACAUAGGGUUCGGCCAUUGAAGGUUUAUGGGAAAAAUGGAUUCUUUUCUUGUUGUUUGUUUCUAAACAUGCUUAACUAACUCUAAACACCAACAUAACUUAGAAUCAAAUCAAUCUAACAUCAUUCUCUCUCCAUACCCAUUCCAACCAGCCAUGAAUUCAUCAUGAAAACAUGUAAUUUAACCAUGGAAAAUGAGGAGAAAUGCAUGGGUAAGGUAAAUCACUAGCAAAAUCAAAGAAAUUUUACCUUUGCUUGAUCAAAUCCUUGAAUUCCAACACUUUCUCUUUGAUUUUUCCCACCUAGGGUUUGUUCUUCCUUGGUUUCUCUUCUCUUCUAGUUUGGCUGACCACUAUGGGAG
rnacentral:lncRNA from 1 species